rnacentral:rRNA from 1 species
UGGGGAAUUUUGGACAAUGGGCGAAAGCCUGAUCCAGCCAUGCCGCGUGAGUGAAGAAGGCCUUCGGGUUGUAAAGCUCUUUUAGUCGGAAAGAAAGAGUUGCAAUGAAUAAUUGUGAUUUAUGACGGUACCGACAGAAAAAGCACCGGCUAACUACGUGCCAGCAGCCGCGGUAAUACGGAGGGUGCGAGCGUUAAUCGGAAUUACUGGGCGUAAAGGGUGCGCAGGCGGUCUUGCAAGUCAGAUGUGAAAGCCCCGGGCUUAACCUGGGAAUUGCGUUUGAAACUACAAGACUAGAGUGCAGCAGAGGGGAGUGGAAUUCCCUGUGUAGCAGUGAAAUGCGUAGAGAUGUGGAAGAACACCGAUGGCGAAGGCAGCUCCCUGGGUUGACACUGACGCUCAUGCACGAAAGCGUGGGGAGCAAACA